GUCUAUGGCCAUACCACCCUGAAUGCGCCCGAUUUCGUCUGAUCUCAGAAGCUAAGCAGGGUUGGGCCUGGUUAGUACUGGCCGGGCGCGGUGGCUC
rnacentral:rRNA from 1 species